AUUUUUACCCCAUCCUUUGCAUAAACUAGUUCCCAUAAGCAUCGCCAGAAACCAGUUAAAAAGGAGACAAACAAGAAAACAUGGCACUUCGCCUAUACGGACUAAAGUCUUUAACGCGUAACGUUCAGUUAAUUGGAUGUCGUAUGAUGUCGAACGAUCUCGGUGGUGGAGCUGGUAAAGGAGGCGGAACAGGCGGCUCAAUCAGAUUUCAAUAGGAGAUGUAAUGAGUUACAAAUGUACCAAUUUUAAAGAGGCAGGAGGCACCUUCGGUAAAAUUGAGGCUGCUCGUGAGGAGGAAUUCAUCAGAAGGCUGCAAAAGCAGCAACUUCAAGAGCUAAGGCGACAUCUAAAUGUGGAAGUCAAUAUCCUCGAAAAGGAAAUCAAAUCCCAUCAGGUCAGAGGUCAUCGUGCCAUGUAACCAUGGUGAUAUGUUUUUCAGUCGUAGCACAGUGUUGUAAUGUGCCUAUCUGCAUGUAGCAUCUUCAUUAAUCUUUUGCUGUAAUUCUUGUUUUACAUUUUUUUAUAUUUUUCGUGGAUAAAUUAUGUUUAUUUACCACAUAUAAUGAGAAGGAUUAAUGCAACUUGAGCUUGCUCUGGAUAGGCACAGACAACAAAUAGUUCCUAAUACAGAAUAUAGAGUCCACCAUUGAGGGCUUGGUGGAUUGUGUAACCCUGCCUUCCUGCUUUAUAAAUACUGCAGGCAUAUCAAAGUAAUAUCAAACUCAAUAAUACCCUAAGAACAAAGGAAGGCAACUUCAAGACAUAUCUUGAACUAUUUUAACACAGAAUUUCAAUGAAAUAAUCAGGUACCGGGUACUCGUAAAGUGGAACAGUCACUUGGUAGUGGCUACUUUCACAUUUGGUUUCACAGUCUUAGCUCUGUCCAGGAGGUUGUGUACAUUACAACUGUCCCUCUGCUGCUUGUGCUGGUAUCUGACCUGAGUUAGACCUGAUCAUGGUUCUAUAUGUCCGGGGGUUGCAUUGUCUCAAAUUUAUAGCUGUAGCAUUUUUGAUGGCUUUCCUUUGCUUUCUUCUCCCAGAAUGCUCAGCAGCUGAAAGCUCUAAAAGAUCACUUGGAUCAGGAAGUGGACCAUCAUGAAAAGAUAAUUAAGGAACACCAGGCAGCUAUCCAGAGACACAAGAAGAAAAUUUCCGAGAUUGAAGGAAAGACAGACACAGAUUGAAGAGCCCAGGAGAUGUAGAUUGUAGAUUGAUAUUGGAGAUAGACGACAAUUAGACACUGAGUGCUAUAAGUGAUGUGUAAAUGUUGAUGGAAUAUCAAUGUUAUCAUUAAAAUUGUGAUUAUU
rnacentral:misc_RNA from 1 species